rnacentral:tRNA from 2 species
GGGCGAAUGGUUUAGGGGUAUAACGUUCGCUUCGCAUGCGAAAGGUCCGGGGUUCGAUUCCCCGUUUGUCCA